UAUACAAUACUGGUUCAGUCACUUCUGUUAACAUUACAGUUAUUAAUAAAAGCAUAUCAUAUUGUCUUAUGCUUAUGCUAACAAUCUUCAAAGGUAUACCUAAGAACCAAAGUUUAGCUAAUGUUAGCUAGUUACCAUGAGGGGACAAUUUAACUAGCUGAGAUAAUAACACUUACUAGCUAGAGCAGGUUGAUGUUGGUCUACCUAGCAACUUCAUAAACCUAACAUUAACUUAUGUUAAUUGUUCUUGAAACUUUCAUGCCAUUAAAUCCCCUUUUUACUGAAGAAAAGCUAUGAUAUGACAGAAAACCACAAAUUAGUAUACUGUAACAAACUUGUACUGCAUGCUUGUGCUAAUCACAUCAUGCAGCUUUUAAGGACCGUGUUACAGUACAAACUCAUAGGAUUAAUAUUAUGUUUAUGAAUUUAUUCCUUCUGUAUUUCUACUAAUACUCUCUCCAUCUAUAUCCUGUACUUGUAUUUGUAAAAAUAAUUAUCAAUACUCUUAUAGAGGUGUCAAAACUACCUCUGCUAGCUUAUGCAAGCAUUUACACAGAACUUUCCAAAAAAGAAAGAGACCCAAUCUUACAGAAGAUAAAAUAGAAAAAAGUAGACAGAAUGAAAAUAACAAUGUUUGUGUUUAUGCUAAUUAUAUGGUAAUACUAACCAAGCAGACCUGCUUACAUAAACUAAGCUAACAAAAAUACACGUUAUUUUUAGCUUUCUGAAUUUGAAUGUUUUUAUGUUAGACUUCCAGCUACACUGUUAUCCCUGAAAUUGUUUUAAUUCAAACUACUUAGGUACAAUAAACAUAAACUCUAAUUGUUUGCACAAUUACUCCAUGUUUUUAGUUUGUUGUACGAUUUGCAUGACAAUUUUCAUUCUAUUGCAUUGUUUAAAUUGAAUGUACUUAUUUUAGUCUGUUGUCAAUGCAACGCAAUACAAGGAAGAUGUUGAUUGGCUCUUUGAACUGACGUCAGACAAGGAAGCAGCGGGCAUUUUCAUCAACGCUUGCUGAUUCAACUUCAAAGCAAUGCUCAAGAUGAUCUGGAAAUGCUUCUGAUGUUGGAGACUCGUACCAACAUGUGCCAGUUGGAAUCCUCAGCUUAGAAAAAGAAAAUGAACCCCUGUCCCUCCGUCUCCACCCAUCCUCGGUGGGAAUCAUCUUGGAGGGGAAUGUUGUAAUGGACAAUUUAGACAACAUACCCCAGGCCAUGUGUCUUCUUUUUGGUUUAACUUAUGCACUGCACCUAGACUACCCAAAGUGCAUGGGCAACACCUUUCUUUUCAUUCAGCAAGUUUUGCUAGGUUUAGGCAAGAAGGAGUUGAAGGGCAAGAUUCUGGCUGUUACAAAUCAGCUAACCAUGUAAACAGGUACGGUAAAUUCAUGUUUCUUCUGGUUCUCUUUCAGAAUCAUUAGAUAAAAAAACGUUCCCUUUCCUGUCGUUGAGCUAUGCCUUAGGGUUGGACAAAUGUUCAUGUUCCUUAUUAAUAUAGUAUAACAACACUGUGCUUGUUAAAUAUUUGGAAAAGUUUUAAAAUACUGUUUAAAGAUUUAAAAUUGGUUUAUUGGUACUUAAGGUAUUUCAUAGUUUUUGUCAGUCU